ACUGUGCAGGGUUGGGUGACCAGGGCCCUCUGGGACUGCCUCCUGGAGGAAUUCAGGUGUGUGAAGGCUACCUGUGAUCUGCAUAACUUCCUGAGGAUAGACAUGAGGACCAGGAGGGGAUCUGCAGCUCGCCACCGUGUGCCAGAGGAGAAGCCUGCUGUUCUGCAGGAUGUUUCAAAGAUGGGUCCAACAACGCAGCAAGAGAGGCAAUCCAUGUGCGGGAGAUCUGCACCUCCUACUUCUUAGACGAGGUUGCUGUUCCCUGGCAACACCAUAGACUACACUCUGCACAACCAAAGGUUCUUUUAAGAGCCAUUCACAUUGCAAUAAGAGUAUUCUUCAAUUUACUUAGCUAUGUCAACUGCAGUUAUUCAUUUCCCAGUUUCUCUCCCUUUGAUUUCUACUUCUCAGAUGAGGGUGCUGUUUAGGUAAGGGUGUGUGAUGUCCGUACAAAAACAAAAGAGGCUAUUUUAAGAAUUUUAACAAUUAGACACCUUAUAACCCACACCUACCCAGCCAUGUAUCAAUCUGAUUGACGGAUGGUGUUGUGCAGUAAGCAGGCUCGGGUGUAUAACUAUGGAUCCUUCCACCAUCAAAGAAUAGGCAAGAGGGCCAACCAUGGAGAAUAGGCAAAAGGGCCAACCAUGGAGAAUAGGCAAGAGGGCCAACCAUGGAGAAUAGGCAAGAGGGCCAACCAUGGAGAAUAGGCAAGAGGGCCGAUCAUGGAGAAUAGUUAUAUCAGCUGUGUCGGUGAACCCCUCCCGCAUCUGAACUGGCUACAUAGAGGGCACAGCAUGAUCAGAGGUAUGUUUUGAUGUGAGAGAGGAUGCCAACCCGAGUCCUGUCAUCGCCACCUAACCCGCUCUUAAGAUCACAUUCAGGUCGACUGGGAGCCAUAGGCUGGUUUGCAGACACCACUAGAGACACUUUUAUGUAAUUGUGAUGAACUGAGAGAAUAUUAGGGUAGCAAUGUGAUUCACUAAUCAUAUGCUGUCUUCCCUGUUCCUCUGUUCUCACCUCUUUCCCUUCCUGUCUUUUACAUCUCUCAUCACCUCUUUCUUCCUCUGUAUUUAUAAUGCACAACAGAUGUGCAUUGAAGUACAGAUUGAACUUGUAUUUAUAAAAUAAUAUUACAAGUAUAAUAUUUAUAAUGCAUGUAUUACAUAUU